UAGAAAUGAGGUCUCACUUUGUUGCCCAGGCUGGUCUUGAACUCCUGUGCUCAAGCCAUCCUCCCACCUCGGCCUCCCAGAAUGCUGAGAUCACAGGAACAGGGCAGUACCAGGAAGAGGAGCAGGAUGAGCAUAAAGAACCAUGACUGUAGCCAAGGGGAAACCAACCGAUACAUCGUGAGAAAACUCAAGCAGAUCAUUGACAGGUGCAACAGGGAAAAACAGGCCUCCUGCCAAUAGCCAUCACCAGCAUAGAGUGUGAGGAACCUUGCAGAUAGAUUUUUCAUCUCCAGUCAAUUCUUAAGAUGACAGUAGCCCUGGCUGACAUCUGACCAAGCCUCAUGAAAGUCCCCGAGUGCAGAUCCAAGCCACUAAGCUUCUCCUGAAUGACUGACCCACUAAGACUUGGGGUAAUGUGCAGCAAUAGAUAAAUAAUAAACAUAAAGAAUAUAUGUAACAUAUAUGUUAUUAUAAAACAAUAAUAGAAUGAACACCUGUGACACCUACCCCCCCAUAUUUAUGAAAUAGGACAUUAUCAAAAGGUUGUGUCCAUCUUCACUUGUCUAUCUCUGUGUUAGUACAGCACAUUUUAAUUACUGGUGAUUGGCAUCAAGUCUCAUUUUAUGAGAGAAUAGAUGCCUUCUUCCACCUUUUAUUUUUUUCUUUUUAGGGGCAACUUGGCCAGCCCCUUCGCCAUUUCCUGUAAGUUUUAUUUUCAGUUAUCACAAGAUCAGGGAUCUCAGGAUCCACUAAAAUACUUUUUGGAUAUUUGUUGGAAUUGCAUUUUGAACAAUUGAAUAUUAGAUAUUGAAUCCUGUUAACCAUUAAUUUAAUGUAUUGAAGUAUUUCAUUACCUUUUAGCAAUGUCACUCAUAUAUAUUUCGUACAUCUUUUCUUGCAGUUAUUCUUAAGUAUCUUAUGUAGGCACAGAAGCUUCUCUUUGUUAGAUUAUUAAUAAUUCCUAAAUUUCACUGGCUUAUUUACCCCAGAAGUAGGUAUUUAUUUUUUUAGAAAAA
rnacentral:lncRNA from 10 species